rnacentral:lncRNA from 1 species
UCCCUUCACUUGUCUUGUCGCAGGGCUCGUCUGCCUAUGCACACGCCAGACCUUCACCGAAAUCGAGGUCACCCGUGAGCGACUACACUCCCUAUUCAUGUGCAUCUGCCAGUGCCGAAGUAGCCUGUGACGUCACUAAGUUUUCUCACGCACCCACGCAUGCCUCCCAUGCCACCAAACAGCAUCGAAUCCAACCAAGCUGAAAUUGGUCUCUCGCGAGUGGCUGCACUUUCGCAUGCAUGCCCCACCUCCAUCAAGCGACGUCGGAGCUUCCCACUCGUCGGAGUUGCCCGCCCACC